GGCAGUGGUAGCUUGGUGGUUAAGAUGUUGGCCUACUGAUCAGAAGGUCAUGUGUUCAAAUCUCAGCACUGCUA